UACGUAGGGUGCAAGCGUUAAUCGGAAUUACUGGGCGUAAAGCGUGCGCAGGCGGCUCGGAAAGAAAGAUGUGAAAUCCCAGGGCUUAACCUUGGAAUGGCAUUUUUAACUCCCGAGCUAGAGUAUGUCAGAGGGGGGUAGAAUUCCACGUGUAGCAGUGAAAUGCGUAGGGAUGUGGAGGAAUACCGAUGGCGAAGGCAGCCCCCUGGGAUAAUACUGACGCUCAGGCACGAAAGCGUGGGGAGCAAACAGG
rnacentral:rRNA from 1 species